GCCCCCGUAGCGCAAUGGUAGCGCGUAAGACUUCUAGCUUUACAAGCGAUCUUAAGGUUGCGAGUUCGAGCCUCGCCGGGGGCU